rnacentral:rRNA from 1 species
GUUAGGAAUAUUGGACAAUGGGCGCAAGCCUGAUCCAGCCAUGCCGCGUGAACGAUGAAGGCCUUCGGGUUGUAAAGUUCUUUAGCCGAUGAUUAUAAUGACUGUAGUCGGAAAAUAAGCCCCGGCUAACUUCGUGCCAGCAGCCGCGGUAAUACGAAGGGGGCGAGCGUUAUUCGGAAUCACUGGGCGUAAAGCGUGCGUAGGCGGUCUCGUAAGUUAGGAGUGAAAGCCCAGGGCUCAACCCUGGAAUUGCUCUCAAAACUACAAGACUUGAAUUCGGGAGAGGAUAGCGGAAUUGUCAGUGUAGCAGUGAAAUGCGUAGAUAUUGACAGGAACACCAGUGGCGUAAGCGGCUAUCUGGACCGACAUUGACGCUGAGGCACGAAAGCGUGGGGAUCAAACAGGAUUAGAUACCCUUGUAGUCC